UAAUGUGAUGAUCAUUUAUUCGACCGGGCGGACAUAUUCUAGUAUCUGGUGAUCGGCAGCUGUGCGGGUCCCCUCGCAAGGGGGGGCUUUCAAGUUUUGUUCCUUCUGUGUACAAAUUUUUGAGGGAACGAGCGAGCAUGGCAACAUUGUCGGUCGUUGGAAAACUGAUGAUUGGUCUCAAGAUAGCUGAUU
rnacentral:snoRNA from 1 species